UGGGGGAUAUUGCACAAUGGGCGAAAGCCUGAUGCAGCGACGCCGCGUGGGGGAUGAAGGCUUUCGGGUUGUAAACCUCUUUCGCUAUCGAACAAGGCCCGCUUAGGGUGGGUUGAGGGUAGGUGGAGAAGAAGCGCCGGCUAACUACGUGCCAGCAGCCGCGGUAAUACGUAGGGCGCGAGCGUUGUCCGGAAUUAUUGGGCGUAACGGGCUUGUAGGCGGCUUGUUGCGCCUGCUGUGAAAACGCGGGGCUUAACUUCGCGCGUGCAGUGGGUACGGGCAGGCUUGAGAGUGGUAGAGGUGACUGGAAUUCCAGGUGUAGCGGUGGAAUGCGCAGAUAUCUGGAGGAACACCGAUGGCGAAGGCAGGUCACUGGGCCAUUACUGACGCUGAGGAGCGAAAGCAUGGGUAGCGAACAGG
rnacentral:rRNA from 1 species